UGCUUAGCCCUAAACAUAGACAAUAAAAACACAAUAUUGUCCGCCAGAGAACUACAAGUGAAAAACUAGAAACUCCAAGGACUUGGCGGUGCCCCACACCAACCUAGAGGAGCCUGUCCUAUAAUCGAUAAUCCACGUUAUACCUCACCAUUUCUAGUCAACCCAGCCUAUAUACCGCCGUCGAAAGCCUACCUUAUGAAAGAAAGAAAGUAAGCAAAAUAGUCAGUAACUAAAACGUCAGGUCAAGGUGUAGCAUAUGAAAUGGAAGAGAUGGGCUACAUUUUCUAUACCAGAAUAAACGGACAGCAAAAUGAAACCAAUGCUCGAAGGCGGAUUUAGCAGUAAGGUAAAAAAGAAAAUUUGCCUAAAGCCCGCUCUGGGGCGCGCACACACCGCCCGUCACCCUCA
rnacentral:rRNA from 2 species